AAACUGCGAUAAGUAGUGUGAAUUGCAUUUAGUGAAUCAUCGAAUCUUUGAACGCACCCUGCACUCACUGGUAUUCCGGUGAGUACGCCUGUUUCAGUAUCAUUGAAAACACACAAUCAAAACAUUUUCUUUGGUUUGAUUGGCUUUGGGUCUAUCAAAAAGUUUGGCUUGUUUCUUACAAGCCAAGCGGCCUGAAAUAUAUUGUCUGGCUAAUUGCAUCGUUGAUGAUCGCUAUUAGACUUUGGCUUUUUUAAAUGAACUGGAGGUUGAUUAACCAGUUUUAGCUUUAGUCAAAUGGUCAUUAUAAAAAAAAUCUCGAUCUUGGCUAGGUGUUUAUAGCCGAAAAUUUUUUUUUGGCUAUAACCGAAACCAAUAUAAUCACAUUUAGUUAUCGAUCUGAAAUCAGGUGGGACUACCCGCUGAACUUAAGC
rnacentral:misc_RNA from 1 species